UACGGAGGGUGCGAGCGUUAAUAGGAAUUACUGGGCGUAAAGGGUGCGUAGGUGGUUGAUUAAGUUAUCUGUGAAAUUCCUGGGCUUAACCUGGGACGGUCAGAUAAUACUGGUUGGCUCGAGUAUGGGAGAGGGUAGUGGAAUUUCCGGUGUAGCGGUGAAAUGCGUAGAGAUCGGAAGGAACACCAGUGGCGAAGGCGGCUACCUGGCCUAAUACUGACACUUAGGCACGAAAUCGUUGGGAGCAAACAGA
rnacentral:rRNA from 1 species